GGAAACAGAUUGGUGGGACGCGGUUGGACCCAAAGACAACAUCGGGAGGAGUGCAUCGUCAAGGGAAGGAAUCAAGUGCGGGAACUUGGUGGUCGUCGGACUUAGUGAGCGAGUUGUUCCGGGUUGGACUAGUCUCCUUAUGAACAUUAUGCCCGUGGUUAUCAGCUGUUGAUCAUGGUAGCAGUUUAGGCUCGCCGACUCUACAACACAUAAUCUAUCUUAUCAUCAUGCGCUGUGCACCUAAGAGUUUAAUAGGACUUUG
rnacentral:lncRNA from 1 species